CGGGCGGUCACUCCACAAUAUGACCGGCUGUACAUAAAAGAAGGAGGAUAAAAUCCGUGAGCUCGCGGUGCGGCAGUGUGGAGACCUGUCGUAAUGCGGUGCAUCAAGUUUUAUGAUGCCGCGAGGCGGCUGCCGAGAUGUCGGAGCCGUCAGAGCCAGACCCAAUGUC
rnacentral:ncRNA from 1 species